rnacentral:tRNA from 1 species
GUUACUUUAAUAUAUGUAGUAUGUUGGAUUUUCGGCCCGGCAGAUCAGCGUUUAAUUAAGCUGAAGGUAAUA